GAUGAACGCUGGCGGCGUGCUUAACACAUGCAAGUCGAGCGAGUGAGUUCUUCGGAACGAUCUAGCGGCGGACGGGUGAGUAACACGUGGGCAACCUGCCUCAUAGAGGGGAAUAGCCUCCCGAAAGGGAGAUUAAUACCGCAUAAAAGUAUCGAGUGGCAUCGCAUGAUAAUCAAAGGAGUAAUCCGCUAUGAGAUGGGCCCGCGACGCAUUAGCUAGUUGGCGCGGUAACGGCUCAACAAGGCGACGAGGCGUAGCCGACCUGAGAAGGUGAUCGGCCACAUUGGGACUGAGACACGGCCCAGACUCCUACGGGAGGCAGCAGUGGGGAAUAUUGCACAAUGGGGGAAACCCUGAUGCAGCAACGCCGCGUGAGUGAUGAAGGUCUUCGGAUUGUAAAGCUCUGUCUUUGGGGACGAUAAUGACGGUACCCAAGGAGGAAGCCACGGCUAACUACGUGCCAGCAGCCGCAGUAA
rnacentral:rRNA from 1 species